rnacentral:tRNA from 1 species
ACUUGGUUGACUCAGUUGGUGGAGCAUGUGACUCUUAAUUUCAGAGUUAUGGGUUCAAGCCCCACACUGGGUA